rnacentral:misc_RNA from 1 species
ACGAGACGAAACAUGGCUGCGCCCAUGAAGUUCGCCCGACUCAGCUGUCAGACACAGAUUAAAAGUUUCUGUGCAUUUUCAUGUAAUAAAAAGAAUUUGAAUGGUAUCCACAAAGCCCGAUUUAUUCACAACGACCACAAUGGGGGUGAAUAUGAUGUGGCAGUCAUUGGUGGAGGUAUUGUUGGAAUGGCAACUGCCAGAGAGAUGAAAGUUCGACAUCCAAACUUGUUGUUCAUUGUUCUAGAGAAAGAAAAAGAAAUUUCUCAUCACCAGAGCGGACAUAACAGUGGAGUGAUCCAUGCUGGGAUCUAUUACACCCCAGGCUCUCUGAAGGCCAAGCUUUGUGUCCAGGGAGUGGAACUCUUGUACGACUACUGUGACAAAAAUAACAUCCCCUACAACAAAUGUGGGAAGCUGAUUGUAGCUGUAGAAAAAGAAGAAAUUCCAAGGUUAGAGGGUCUUCUUGAGAGAGGAAACCAAAAUGGAGUUAAAGAUUUACGCAUGUUAGGUCCCAAAGAAAUCAAGGAAAUUGAACCAAACUGUGAAGGGUUAAAGGCAGUGCAUUCACCACACACGGGUAUCAUUGAUUACAAAGUGGUGACACAGUCAUAUGGACAGACGUUUGAGAAGCUGGGCGGUCAUGUUUAUACAGACUUUGAGGUGACAGAUUUCUCUGUCACCAAAGAGAGUGGCCAUGGUAUAGACUAUCCAGUGACCAUUAGAGGCUCUGGCUUCAUCAAGGGAAGUGAAGUGUAAAUAUGUGGUGACUUGCGGUGGUUUGUUUUCUGAUCGACUCGCUGAGCUGUCAGGCUGUAACAGAGAGCCACGAAUCGUGCCAUUCAGGGGAGACUACUUGUUGUUAAAGCCGGAGAAGACCAACCUUGUCAAUGGAAAUAUUUAUCCAGUACCAAACCCACUUUUUCCUUUCUUGGGAGUCCAUUUCACGCCCAGAAUAAACGGAGACGUUUGGCUUGGCCCCAAUGCAGUAUUAGCCUUUAAGAGAGAAGGCUACAGAUUGACGGAUUUCAGUGCUACCGAUGCUAAAGAUGCUGUCUCAUUCAGAGGUCUUCGAAAACUAGCCAUGAGAAAUCUUGGAUUUGGAAUAAAAGAAAUGUACCGUGGGUUUAACAUAGCAGCUCAGGUUAAGCUUCUACAGAGAUAUGUGCCAUCCUUAAAAGUUUCAGAUGUAACAAGGUAUAGUAUACCUACAUACAUGUGUCAGUAAACAAUGUUUUAACAUAAAAAUGGCUGAAUGUGCUGUUAGCUGAAUUUUGGAUAUUUGUGAAAUAUAAUUGUAAUUACCAGUAAUAUAAGAUUCAAACUUUCCAUAUUCUUUUAAGGGUCGUUUUAAAUAAAUCUGCUGCUCUCUGCAGAGAAUUGAAAAUUGAUUUUUACAUGUUUUUGUGUAACUUGCUGUUUGAUCCAUGUAUUUUGUUGCAGAGGUCCGUCUGGGGUGAGGGCCCAAGCUUUGGACCGGGAUGGCAAUCUUGUGGAUGAUUUUGUCUUUGAUGUGGGAGUUGGAGAGCUAGGCUCGCGUAUAUUACAUGUCCGAAAUGCUCCAUCACCUGCAGCAACUUCCUCCCUAGCUAUUGCAAAAAUGGUAGCAGACAAAGUGGAAAAUACAUUUCAUUUAUAAUGGAAUAUUUUAAUAGUAAUAUAGGUAUUAUGUACUCUUUGUUUGUAGCAAUCUGAUAUUUGCAAUUAAGAAGAGCGUCUCAGAGAGAGAGAGAGAGAGAGAGAGAGAGAGAGAGAGAGAGAGAGAGAUCCAAAGCAAUCACUAUUUUUUAUAAUCCAAGUUUUAUUAUUGUAUGCAGGUACAUGUAAAUGUGUAAAACAAUGAAUGUUGUUCAGAACAUGCAUGUGAAGUUUGUACCACUGUGAUAAUUAACAUAAUUUAUGCUUGUACGCACAUGCAAAUCAUUCUUAAUGAAUAUUUUUUUAUGCGCAAUAAAUGAGAAAUGUUACUUUU